CUAAUGCAUAUGAAAUACUAUACUUUAAAUCACAGAAAUCAGUAAAGUAUCAGGAAAGCAGUUGACGCAGGCAUUUAAAAUGUAUCAGAGAAAUCACAGAAUCAUAGAAUCAUAAAAUGGAAUGUAGAAGUGUACACAAAAUUGUGAUGGUUUUAUGAUUUUUGGUUAUCAGUAUUCCACAUCACAACAUCAUGCAGUGUACUGGGAGUUAAAGAGCAAAUGCUUUAGUUCUGGGUACCUGUCUGGAAGAGAAGAACUACGUUCCCCAAGAGCGUUUUCGAGUACUGUUAUCAUUCCUGCUUAGGGGAACAGAUAUAAGGGUGCAGGUCAUCUGACUCGCUGCCCUCUUCUCGUCUCGCCGUGCUCCCUGUCAGAUUGGCUCAUUACUGCUGCUCCUGACUGCACGCAAGGCUUCAGUACUAGUGAGGAAAUAAGGAAAGCUUUGAGUUGAAAGGAGUGGCAGGAGGAAAAAAACCUGAAAAGGAGACAUUCUGGAAUAUGAAACUGUUUUCUCAAUUUCCAGGAAGAGAUUCAGGAAUGAGCUCGUCAAAGUAGCUAAGAGAGAUGGAUUGGGAAGAAAGCAGAAAGAAGACACUUCUGGAUGAAUAAAUAUACCUCAGAGUGCUCACUAGAAUUCACAUGGCUUCCAGACUUAAAGAUUUCUUACGUUCUUUGAGUACAAUGUUCCUUAAGCACACUUCAAGGCCUCACAGGUGCCACUGUCCUACAGCGGCACAGUGCAGCACUGAGAUACUCCUCAUAACCUCAUCCUGAUCAGCUUUCCAACUCUGCAUCCCAGCAAUGUCAACCUCUGUCGCACCACUCUGUUUGCCAAGUUUUAGGUAGUUUCUAACACAGUUUAUGGUUUCCAGAUAUGAUUACUGAAGCCUAAUGCAACAAAAUUUUGAUUCCAAAGCAUCCGAGGCCUUCCAGCUUGAAAUAGUGAGCCAUUAUGGAAAAAGGAAUUUGGCAACAGAAAGCAAGUGAUUUUAUUUUUCAUGUCUUCAGCAACUAAAGUUGUUUCAUCCUUACAAAAAGCAUUCAAAUUAUUAAAAAGUGACAUGACCGAAAGAAAAUAUAAGCUGCAACGUACUUCACAUAGUGAAACUCUUCAAACAACCUGAAAUAACGAAGAUCCAUUACUAGAACAAGGCAAGAUUUUUUCUGGUUGAAAAGUACCAGAUCAGCUGACAUGUACAUUGGCAGAUUUGGAAUCCCUGAUUCUGAACUAAACUGCUGCAGGAGACCUGGCAAGUACACAGUGAAGCUGGACUACUCUGCAAAUUUUCUAAUUAUGCUGAAACUAUGAAUAUUAAAAAGAUGUUUCAAGGGGAUGUUUCUGAUCAGCACUAUCAAUUCCAUGAGACACAUGUUCUUACUACUAGGUUUUCAAAGGAAUGGCCAAACAAUGUGAUUUUGGUGUUUUGCUAUAUUGCGAGGCAUAACAAGUGAUUUUUGAACUUUUGGGAAAUACAGUUUGGAUGAAGAUGCCAGUCUCACCUACACAAAUAAAGAGGACCUUCACAUAGAAAAGUAGUAUGUCUAAGCCAAGCAAGCAAACAUACUUUCAUGUCUGGACUUGGGUGGCUAGUUGGAUUCCUAGUUGAGAAAAAAAAAAGGGAUUACUUAGAUGAGUACCUCCAUUCUUUGGAAAUCAUGUCAAGGAAUACAAAUACUGGCUGCAGUAACAAGUGAACAUACACUGAAAUUUGUAUGCUUCCACAGAACGUGUGCAUGUCAGGGAUUUGUCAUUUCAUCAAAACUUUCCAUUACAAAACAUCUAGGCAGGCUAACUCUCUUCUGUACAAGGUUUUGAAUUUUUCACAUGACUGGUUGAGAAGACUAUCACAUUAGCUAGAGGAGACCUUGAAUUCUGUGAUUUUUGAAUAAUUGCUCUGAUAAGCUGCCAGAUAGCUGAGAUUUCUAGUGUUUAUUUGAUCUCCAGCUUCAGUUCAACCUGCCAAGUACUCAAGAUGAGUGGGUGGGGCAGUCUAUAAACUACUUCUGUUCUCAAUGUGCAGUUUUUUGCAUUUGAGGAAGAAAAUAUGCAAAUGAAAGUUGUAUGGGUCUCACUACAAAUAUACAUCCUCCUCUAAGUCAGAAGAAUUCUUAUAGAAUACUUCCUACACUUGAACUAUAUUCUUUGAGUUUAAUUGUAAAUUUUAUUGUGGUAACGUUCACCUCUUCUGCAAUACAUGUCUAUUUCCAGAUAGAGAAAAAAAAAAAAAAAAAAAAAAAACACCAGGAAAGACAUACAAGUGCUGAAUAUAGUUGCAAUUUUUCCUGCUCAAUCUUGUUCACUCCACAGAAAGGAACUAGCAUUUUUUAGGAACUGAAGGUGUCUGAAUGUCAGCUAGUAAACAACUAUGUUGAUGUUGGUCACCAGUUAUGAGACACUGAGGUGGGAAAUAGCUGUAUGUUUCCUGUUUUAGAAAUAUGACUUCAAUUAUUUUUUAAAAAGUGAUGCAAAAUACUUGGAGCACCCUUGUGAUCCUAGAAAUCCCAGAACAUCUGCCUUCAAGGAGACUCUCUGUUUUCCAGAAUUUCCAGACUGUUAUAGCAAAACUUUUUUAUUAUAAUAUUCCUAAAAUCAAAUACUGUGAAAUUUCAAUUUCAGUAGCAUAUUUGAGUUUUAGAAACAUAAAAAAGUUUUAAUUAUUUUUUAUUUAUGGGAGAAGGGUAUAAUGAGGAGUCACCAUUUUUUCCAGACCCAAGCUCUUAACUCUUGUUAAUACGGCAAAGUCUUGAAGCUUUUCUCUAAGCAUGAAAUGAGAGGAAUAUAAAUAUGUUUUUUUUGUUUGUUUGUUUGUUUCAGUAUGUGCAUAUGUGCAAUUUUUUUCCUCAGUCCCAUUCAUUCGGGUUUUUGAUGUCUUUUCAUUGCAUGCAAAAGGACAUUUUGAACCACUGCCAACAACAAUAGCCUAUUUUAUGUCCUGAAAAAACUUGCCAGAAUGGCCCCCUCCAGCAACAAAUGACCCAAUUUAUUUAUGACAGUGCCAAAAAACCUAUUUCCAGGAUGUUCAUAGGUCAAGAGCUCUACUGAAAUAGAGAAUGCCUUGAAGACCUAUUGCAUUGUUUAUUAUUUACUGUGUAUGUUGCAGACAUGCCCUGAGGUCACAAUCAAAAUCAGGGAAGUUGAGGGAGAUUGAAAGAAUAAUGAUGUUGCUUUCAGUUUGAGACUAUCCUUAUAACUUCGUCACUCUGUGUCUUGUCACCUCUUCCCUCUAGGACAUUAGUUUACCCUUCAAACAAUUUUCCUUUAAAGAUCUCCGUCAGUUAUCUUUCCAUUUCUAUCUUUGCAAACCUGCAAUCUUAAAUUGAGACUACUGGCUACCCCAGUAAUAGGCAGCUCAUAAUAGGUGUUUCAAGUUUCAUAUUUUAUUUGGAUUCCUUCUUUUACACACAUACAUACACACAUGCACUCAUUAAAAUAAAAUAUAAUAUGAAUGAAGUGUGUCAGCAACUUUUCAGUGUUAUUUUUUUUAAAUUGCAAAGUUCAACUUCCACAGUUUUUCUUUGAGAAGAAAAAUGCUUCUCAAAGUAACUAGCUACAGCAACUGCAGAGGCAAGUCAGGUGGGGAACUGGGGAGUUUUCAUGUAAGUCAAAUGCAAACUGUUUGCAGUUAAGACCCAAACCAUUCUCUUGCCUUUUGUCCCCUUUUGCUUCCUCAUCUUCCCAAACAUUUAUUCUGAUUUGACCUUUCCCUUGGUAAUGUAAUGAAAUUACUCUGUGUGAUUGAGACCUACCUGCCUCUACUAAGAUAUUUUACAGGGAUAAUGAAGAUGUUGCGAGUAAAGCACUGAAUGUGAGAAUAACAAGAAGAAAUUAAAGGCAGUGAAUUAGACUGGAUAUGUUGUUUGUAGGAAACAUAUGAGGGCUGCUCCAAAAUCAGUUUCCUAUUUUAUUAUGCUGGCCCACGAUAUCAGAGGUAGAUGUUGGUGGUAUGGCAGAAGAAGCUGAACCUUCUCUCCAAUAUUCUGUUACAUUUUGUUGUCAUGCAACAGAUGACACCAGAGGGGCAGUCUGACAAAAGGGCAUCUGACAUGGACAUACAUAUGAUGCAAAGGUGUGUCACUGAAUUACUCCAUGUGGGAAAAAUUGCACUCACUAACAUUCAUUGAUGCUUGCUGAACAGUUAUGAAGAUCAAAAAGUGGAUGUGAGCACAGUGAGGCAGUGGGUGGUGCGUUUCAGCAGUGGUGACAGUAGUGUGGAACACAAGCCAUGUUCAAGAUGGCUGUGCACAGCUGGUAUAUCACAAAAUGAAGUACAUUUUUAUCAGCUCAUUCACACGAAUUGGCCAAUGAGGGUGACUAUGUUGAAAAAGAGUGUUUUGUAGCUGAGGAUUUGCUCUUUCAGUUAGUGUUAUUUGUCGUAGUUUCCAUGGAAAUACAACGUAAAUAAGGAGGCAUUACUAUUGCAGUAACUUAUGUAAUUUUCUGCUGUUUUAAAAAGAUCCAUAGAAAUCAUAGUAUUUUUAUUGCAGUUAUUCAGUUAAUGUGAGCUAAAGUCAUUUUUAACUCGAUAUUUCAUAGAAUUGUAGGAUCAUAUAAUACCUGUACCUGAAAGGGGCCCAUAAGAGUCACUGAUUCCAACUCCUGACACUACACAGAACUGCUCCAAAAUCAAACCAUCUGUCUGAGAGCGUCAUCCAAAUGCUUCUUGAACUCCAGGAGGCUUGGUGCCAUGGCUACUGCCCUGGGCAUCCAGUUCCUGUGCGUGACAUACUUCUUGGUGAAGAGCCAUUUCCUAACGUGUAGCCCAACGCAGACUUCUGUUGUUCCUUCAGGUCCUAUCACUGGUCUCCAUAAAGAAGCCAGUAUUUGUAAGAUACGAUGGUUCCUUCUCUUAGCUGGCACAAAACUUUUAUGUAUGGUAAUAUUCAACAACAUUAACAGUAUUAAUAGAAUGAACUUUUUCUUACUAAUGAAAAUAUCACAAAGCAUAACUUAUCAAAAAUAUGCUUAUAGAUUUUAUAGUAUAACCAAAUGUACUUGAAUUCACAUUACAAUUUCUUCCUUUUGAGGCAAAAUGGCUCUGAAGAAAGAGCUGGGUGAGGCAAAAGAUUUGAAGUAAUUUCAUGGAGUUAAAAGAGUGACUGGGCAACAAGAAUUAAUGUAUGAUUGUUCUGGCUUGGGGAUGAGUUUUGCAAGGUUAAAUAAUUCAUGCUCUAUUCAUUUUGGUUUUUGCGCUCUGUGGAAAUGAGUGUUAUCAUUUAAUUUAUUUUUUCCUAUAGGAAAAUGUUAUAAUAUCAUCUUCUUCUGUCCACUGGAUUAGACAGGGGUCCAAUUACUCACUACAGCAGGAAUUUGCAUUUCUGGAGUUUGAAUCUCUUGAAGUCAUUUUAUGUGUACAAUCUCCAUCAGGAUAAGGAGAAUGAAGAAUGAGACUGAAGAGUGCUGAGAUCAGCAGUGUUUUCAGCAUCUGCAUGCAAUAAUGUGAUUUAACUGACCUGUAUGGGCUUGAGCCCAAGAACCACAGAAAGGAUUUAUUUAGGCUGUAUUGGCUGGCAUGUGGAAGAAGCUCCUACUAUAAAAGCUAUGUGGAUCACAAUAUUAAAUCAUUUUCAUAAAAAGGGGCAGGCUUAUCUCAGUUUUGCUUCUUUGCUUAUUUUCCUCCAGCCAGUUUCUAUCUCAGGAUUUGUGAAACAGUUUGUAUAUCUUUAAUAAUUAUACAAAUUUGGUUCAGAAAAAUAGCUGAAAAUUCUAUUAAUCUGUGUUGCAUGGAGGUUUGGUUCACAGGUAUCUGAAGAGAAAGACAGAAAGUAGUAUAAAAAGUAUUUUUCUUCAGCAUAAUUCAGGUUACAACAUAGAACCUCCUACUCACCACACUUCAGUGAAUCAUGCACACUAAACAUCUUGAUUCCUCACUUUUUUAAUGUGCUCUGAAUAUGAUUUUCUCAUUUACAAUUAUAAAUGUUACAUUGAUCUUAAAAAGCUGACCAAGUCAGGCUGCCAAAAGUAUAUAGUAAUGUAGCUGUAUAUUCUAACUGAUUGUCAAUUUUUUAUUUUUAUUUUUUUUUAUUUCUGUACAGUACUGUAGUUAUUUUUCAUUACCUUUGUGCAGUAUGCGUCCUGACAAAAUAUAGGAAAAGAAGCUAUUAAGCAUAUUUGUGAAACCUCUUUCUAUGUGAUUAGGUUUUAUGUUGUUAAAUUUGAAUAAAGCAUUAAUCAUAAAUCAUAUGAAUACCUUUUUGCUUCAUACAGUUGAAUUGCUAUGCAACUUCUACUAAAAUAUUGACUGAAAGCGACUCCACUUUCAACUUAUUAUCUUCUUUUUAGAACUGAAGUUAGUUACAUACCUGAUUUUUUUCAUGUUUUUGAUAUACUGUUCUUUAUGUGUUGAAAAUAAGACUGAAUACACUUCAGUCCAAGCACAUGUCACUGUAGAAAUGGAACCAAAGAGCUGUAGGACAUAUACAACCUUCAAGAUUCUUCAGUGUUACAUGGAGUUUUACCUCUACAGUUGUAAAAAAUAAUAAUCCUAUCAGCUACAAGAAACUGUUAGGUGUUUUUUAUGAUCUGGAUAAAUGUUCCCUUAUGAAAUAAGAUAAAGUAUAAGCAUGCAAGUAUAAGGCAAAGUAUUCUCUGUCUUACUUGAAGGAUGAUCCAAUCCUGUCUGCAUAAAGAACUUUUGGCCCAUUGUGCCUGAUCGUUCUCUCAAACUGCUGCAGGGGCUGAAUUCAAAAUACUACAUUAAUACCAGAACAGAAUGCAAUAGCUUUGCAACCUUGAAGAUAUAACAUUAUUUUGUAGCUCAAUUUAUUUUUUGGAGAGUCCAUGGUUAUGACUAUUUCAUGCGAUGAAAUGCUAGUCAGAGAUGCCUGGGGUUUCUGUAACAAACGAGAAGCAAUGAAAAUUUCAGAGUUUUUCUGUACCCAUAUUUGAAGUUACACUGCAAGUGAAGUUUAGAUGAAACUUGGGUAAAGCUAUUGAGAAAAUCUAGCUUUGAGGGCUGCUCUGAAAGUAAUGUCUCCUAUUCUAUGUUGGCCUACAAAGUCAGAGAUGAAUUUUGGUGGAAUGGUAGUAGAGGCUGAACCUUCUUGCCAACAUUCUGUUACAUCUUAUUGCUGUGUGACAGUUGGCUGCAGAGGGGCAGUCUGACAAAAGGGUGUCUGACACAGAACUGCAUAUGAAGCAAAGGUGUGUUAUUGAAUCUCUCCAUGUUGUAAAAAUUGCACCUCCUGAUAUUCACUGACACUUAAUGAACAGUUAUGGAGACCAAACAGUGGAUGUGAGCACAGUGAGGCAGUGGGUUAUGCGUUUCAGCAGUGGCGAGAGCAACAGCGGGUCACCUUUGCUGGUGCAGAUUUUUACAAGUGUGGCAUGCAGGCUCUUUUCAUCACUGUCAGGAGGACAUAGCUAAUGGUGCUGACUGUGUUGAAAAAGAGUGUUUUGUAGCUGAGAAUUUGUUCUAUCAAGUAGUGUUCUUUUCUCUUUGUAUAUGUUGUUCCAUGGAAAUAAAUAGAAGGCAUUACAUUCAGAGUGACCUUUGUACAUAGUCUUUUUAUAGUUUUUUUAAAGUACACCUGAACUUACCCUGUCCCAGCCCCAAAUCAGAUCAUACAAACAAGUUAUGACCCAAAGGGUCUGUGCUCAAUUUGUUAUGAUAAAGCUCUUUUGGGCCUACGGUACACUCAACUCAGAGUUUAUACAUUUCCUGUCAUGAUGAAAUGCAAGCAGAGCAAGCACAGGUCUUGACAGUGAUCUGAGGAUUUACAGUGCAUUAUGUAAGGCCAAGGCUCAACUGCAUAAUCGUCUCCUGAAGUGGGGGUAGGAGUCUGGGAGAUAAAAGUUUUCACUCAUUCACACAAAUAUGGGAGACAAUCAAUACAAGUCAAAUGAGGUAAAUCAAAAUACAGUACUUUUUCAGGAACACACUGUAAUAUCUUAAUAUUUUCUUUGAGAGAGCACUCAAUAAAACAUCUCUGAAUGAGUUUCUAUGAUUCAUAAAUUAAGUUGUGUAUGCUAUGUAUUAGGUAUCUUUUCUGACUGUAUGUUAAUAACAGUCCAGUGUUUACUAGUGCUUAUGUUCCCUGACAAGCCUGUAGUCUUUUACCUGUUUCUGGUCAGGAAGCUCUUCAUACUGAGAUGUAUGGAUGCCUGCUCACAAAGGCCAAGUCAAUACUGGUAAAUACAACUGGUGGCCUAGAAAGAAUCCAGGCAUUUCUGCUGAAUGAGCGAGAGCAUAGGUAUAAAUUUCGCAAACAGUGUUAUACAUCCAUGUUGAGAGAAACUGAGGUACUAAGUAUACAUGCAUAGAGAAAGAUGGCUUCAUGUGAAACAGAUAUUUAGGUUUCCAUUUUAAUUAGUGAGGAAGUAGCUCAGAUGCUUAGCACAGCUGUCAUCAGAGGCACUGUGGGGCACCCAACAUGGUUUCCCACUGCUGUGCCAAAAGGGUGUAUGUCUCCCAUAGGUUCCAUGUCAUAUAUGACAGCCUUCAGCUGACGUCUUGGACACCUGAAGAAUAUCAUGAUGCUAAACAGCAAAAGUUAUAUAACUGAUUUAAAUAUAGUCAAUACAGCUAGAAAAAGGGAGAAAGCUAUUCAGAUCAUCCAAAGAUAGUCAUUCAGUUUUGACUAUCUCAGUAGCUCUCUGUACUGCUUUAACUCAGCUGACUAGAUUUGUGUAGGGAAACUGUUAGGUCAGGGCUUGAAUUGGUGACUGAGCACCUUAGUGAAGGUGUGUGGCUGGCCCAAGGAGCACAGGCAGAAUUGGGAAGGAGUACUGCAUAGCUGGAGAUCUCUUUCACCAGAGAUUAUGUACCCUAUGGCUACUUUCUUCUUUAUAUUACUUUAAGUUAACAUCAUACAGAAAUUGUUCCUGCUUUUCACUUUUUUUCUCUCUGAAGUUCCCAGAGUUCUGAGUUUUGUCAGCUUAUCAGUGAAUACAACAGCUUAAACUGUCUAAAAUUUUUGUGGUUAUCUUUUCCUUCAUGUACAGUUCUUUUGUGGCAUAAGUAUAAUGUUUGAUGUAUGUGAUAGGCAGCAGUGAAUGAGUCCCAAGAGCAAAGGUGAAGUGGAUUAAAUUAGGUCUUCUUAUUUGCUUUGAUAAGGCACUUGUGGACAACUGUAGCCAUAUGAUACUCCUUGCUGUACAGUGCUUGCAAAAAUCUAGAUAAUAGUCUUACUCUUAGAAAUUUCUAUCUGUAUUUUGCCCUUUCCUAAGUACCUCAGUCAGUAAGUUUGUCUAUGGUGAAGUCAAUGGUGGCAUAUACACCACUAUUGUUAAGGAGGUACUUUUUGAAAGCCCAUACAGAGUAUUUCACAUAAGUAUGAAAUGCAGAUGCAAACAUGUUUUGUAAUAAUAUUAAACCUAUUAGUUGGCUUGAGUGUGAAGAGGAUAUCAAACCAUGUAGUUUAUGAAUGCAAAUUGUGUGAAGUACCUCUGGACACAAACACUCUUCAAAACUUAUCUAGCAUUCAUGUACACAAGUGUAAGUUACAUUUUUCCCAUUAUAGCUGCUAUGAAUAUGGUUCUUCCACAUUUAAUUCUUAAAAAAUUCACUUUGUUCAGAACUAUGUAUGACAGCCUAUCUUGCUUUUAAUAGUUAUGUUUUGCAUCUGCUACAGGGUUUGGAAACCCCAUAAGGAACUUUUAAAUACUUAGAUGAAACAGACAAAGAACUGUUAGAAUAAAACUCAUCUAUGCAAAAUUGCAGAAAAAGUGUAUGGUUGCUGGAAGCAAGGUCAGGUAACAUGGGAGGACUACAGAGAUGCUGUUUCUCUUUGUAGAAGAAAAAAAUAGUAUGGUCAAAGCUCAGUUACAGUUUAAGUAAGCCGGUACUGUGGGACAGAAUAAAAAGGUUUUCUUAAUGUAUUAACAGCAAAAGGACAAUCAGAGAGAACGUUCAUUUGUUACUUGAUGAGCAUAGUCACCUUACAAACAGAUAUAGACAAAGCAGAGACAUUUAAUGCCUUCUUUGCCUUGGUCAUCAGCACUCGUGAUGGGCUCUGGGAUUCCAGGUGACUCAAGUUAGAGGACUGUAACUGUGGUAACAACUAGCUCCCAGUCAACACCAAACUUGUGUGGGAUUUUCUGAUCCAGUUGUAUGCAUAUAAGUUCAUGGUGCCUGAUGGGUUUCAUCCUAAGAUACUCAGAGUUCACUGAUAUCAUUGUGAGACAUCUCUCAGUUUUCCAGUGGUGCUGGGAAUCUGGAGAGGUCCCUGUUGAAUGGAAGCUGGCAAAUCUUCCAAUUGUCAAGCAUGACAAGAAAGAUGACCCUGAUAAUUACAGGUCUAUCAGUCUCACUUUGGUGCCUGGUAAAAUUAUGGAGAAAACUAUGUUGGGAGGUCUUGAAAAACACCUGAAGUACAAUUCAGUCAUUGCCAACACAAGUUUGUGAGAGGAAGGUCCUUUUCAACUAACUUAAUUUCCUCUUAUAACAAGAUCACCCAUCUAGUUGACCAAGGGUGGCAGUUGGAAAUUAGAAGAGCUAAAUUUAGAGGAGCUGUUGACUCCAUUGAGGGUAGAGUGGCCUUGCAGGGAGACCUAGACAAAUUGGAGUGCUGGACAAUCACCAAAUGCAUAAAGUUUAGCAAGAGCAUGUGCUGAGUUCUGCAUGUGGAAAGGGGCAACCAUGGUUAUACAUAUAGACUGGGUAUAAGGUGCUGGAAAGCAGCCUCACUGAAGGAGAUUUGGGGGAGUCUUGAUCAACAGCAAUUUGAACCACAUCCAUCAGUAUGACCAAGAAGGCCAAUUGUACCCUGGGGUGCAUCAGGCCCAGCAUUCCCACCUAGGUACAGGGAAGGAUUUUCCUGCUCUACACUGUAUGAUCGCACCUUGAGUAUUGUGUGCAGUUUUGGGUGCCCCAGUAUGAAAAAGGAUAUAAAACUAUUAAAGUGUUCAAAGGAGGGCUACAGAGAUGGUGAAAUGUCUUGAGGAGAAGGUGUAUGAGGAGCAGCUGAAUUCCCUUGAUUUGUUUAGUCAAAAGGAGAGGGAAGAUCUUAUCAUGACAUUCAGUAUCCUCAGGAGAAGAAGCAGAGGGGCAGGCAUUGAUCUGCUCUCUGGUGACAGUACCCAAAGGAAUGGCAUGGGGCUGCAUCAAGGAAGGUUCAGGUUGGAUAUCAAGAAAAGGUUCUUCACCAGAUGGUAGUUGGGCAAUGGGACAGGCUCUCCAGGACAGUGGUCAUGGCAUCGAUCUUGCUGGAGGUCAAGAAGUGUCUGGAUUAUGCUCUUAGUUGUAUGGUCUCACUUUUGGGUGGUCUUGUGUGGAGCCAGGAGUUGGACUCAGUGAUCUUUAUGGGUUCUUUCUACCUUGGGAUAGUCUGUGAAAACUCUGUACUGACACGAAGUAUUUAACUAUAAAAGUGGGUUAUGUUUUGUUUUCAAAUUUUGUGUUGAGAACAGAUGACCUGGUGAGUGAGAGGGAAAGAGAGGAGGCAUUUUGAAGAGUCUUGUUCAGCAAUGAUUAUAUUUCUGGGGAGCUGCAGCAUUGCAUUGUAUACUUUGGCCAAAAGUUGCUCAUUUGAGUAUCUGAGCUUUACAAACUAUUUCUCUGUACUACAUAGUACUUUUUUUCCUGUACUGAUGCUAUCUAAGGUCUAGUCUAGAUAUACAGCCAGCCAAAGUUACAUGCCCUCCAAAAUCUAUUUUUAAAUAACUAAAUUAACACUUUUCUUAAACUCAGAGUGACAUUUUAGAUCUUUUUUUUUUUUUUCAUUUCUAAAACUAUUUUGGCAUUCCAAUAUUGCCUUAUAUCUAGACAAACACCGAUAUCCUUUCUUGCCUGUGUAGUUUAGUUUUGUGUACUGGUAUAUUAGAAUCUGAAGUCUUCCAUAGUAAUUUUUGUUCAUUUCCUAAAAUUCAAUCAAAAUUGAGUUACAACUAAUCUCUGCAAGCUGAUCUAGGAUGUGGAUCCAUGGAGAUACAAUUCUUGGAUGUUUGUUAACACUUUUAUUUGACUUCGUAUCUCCAACACGACCCUUAUGAUCCAUCAGUAUUAUCAUAACAUACAUUGAGAACAUUGCCUGUAAUGAAGGUGUCUGCUAUAAUCAAAGGCACAAACUGCUGCAGUCAUAGUUUUGCAAGUUUCUGUGCACUGACUGAGCCAAAGGUUUUGUCAGAGACCUAGCUCAUUGCCCCUUCACUUCACUCUUAGAAACGUGCAACUCUGUAUGCUAGUGUUAAAGAACUUAAAAAAUGGUUUUGAAAAACAGCAAAAAAUACGAAGUAGCAUGUUUUUUAACCAAUAUUUCCUUAUUUUUAUUUUUAUUUUACAGAUGGCAGUUUGUAUUUACUGUACCAGAAUAUUUUGUAAAGGAGAUUAUGAGGACUCACUGUGCCCUUUAUGGUGCAUGUGGGUGCAGAAACAGAAUAGUCUAAGUCCAACUCAAUAAUCUGAACAGUGCAUUUAUGGAACAAAGCAUCAGUCACUGCCCACUAAGGACAGUGCAUAGUUACUCGUCAUUCCUUACUGCCUGUGUCUUGAAGAGCAAGGUAUGAAGGUUUCUCACCAAACUGAUUUCUCUGUGCAUACCUUCUCUUUUCCCUUUCCCAUCUCCUCAUCCUGCUGAAGUGCUGAUGGAUUUUCAGUGCUUCUGGGAAUUUCCUGAUUGUAUACCUAAUUUGGACUCACUGUUUUGAAAAUCUUGACUAAGGAGUGGGGUGGCCUCUAGUCUGAUCAAGUGAUCAAGCCUUUCCAAUGCAAACGUGCUGCUGUACGGAGGGAAACAAAUUACUUACCACAGAAGAAAUGAGCACAAGUGGGCACCAGAAAUGCUGGCUGCUAUAUUUAACUUAUAAUACUAAUAUUGGAACGUCAUAGCUGUCUCCAUGUCCUUAAUGGCAGCCCUGUGAGAUUCUAUCUAGAUUUUAUGAUCUUAUAUGGAAAGUAAUUCAGCUAUUUAGAGAACUAUGCUGUGUGCUGUGUACAAACAGUGAGGCUACUUACGUCUGUUCUCCGUGUUAUCAGCACUGUUAAAAAGUCACAUCAGCUGGGAGGAUGUUCUGCUUUAUAGUUUCUGCUGUUAUUGUUUCUAGGGAAACCACUUCACUUAUCCACACUCACUGUGCCUGUCACAUCCACAAUUUACAGACACUCAGGGUAAGGAAAAGGUGCACCUCAGAAAAUCUGCUCUUAAUUGAUACACUAAUAAUAACUGUAAAUGCAUUAGAAUUACUUCUUAAGUUAGACAUUCUGAUUUAGCAAGCAUACUGUGUCUCUGUAGGUUUCCACAGCAGUAACCUAGGGUAGAGAUACUGUGCCAGAACCCCGGCCAGCACUUCACAGGACAUUUAACCAUCACUGAAGACCAGAUGGGUUAGGACUGUUUUGUUUUUGUAUUUUUUCCUUAGAUAGCAGGUGUUGAGCAGAGGGAAAAUCAUAAAAGACCUAGGCUAAAAUUUUCUUCAAAGAGACUUCUGCUUUCUUUUUGUUUCUUAGUUUGACAGAAAAGACUUUGUUUUUAUGGAAUUUGAAGGGGGAAAUAUUCUUUUAGAGCAGAAAAUAAUACCAAUGAGAAGGUCAACAUAAUUAUUAUUUUCACCAGAAUCUGCUCCUUUUCCACAUUUCAUCGUGGAUUUUGAAAGACUACUUUUCAGAAUGAUAGCUUUUAUCACACACUGCUAUUUUUAGAGCUUUCAAAAGGUUUUAUUGCUUAAGACAUUUUAGGCACAUGAGGAGCUGGAUGUGCUCCUAGUACAAAUGAGGUAGGCUUUAUAACCACACACAAACUCCCGUGGACAUUUUUAGAAGCAUUUGGAUGAUGCUGGGAUUAAAAAAAGAGCAGUCAGAGGUCUCUUUGCCCUCCUGGGCUCCACAUAGCUCUGUAUUUUAGCAGUUUAGUAAAUGCUGAGCACCAUUUCUUUGAUGAAGAGGAUUUACUGACCUGUGAUUCCAAUUUUAGCAGUCCUAAGAGGUCUAACAUGAGAGGACUAAAUGUCCUUCCACAUCAAGACAUUAAUUAUCUCCAUUGAAAUUUCCUUGCUUUUUUCCACUUGUUGUGAAAGUAUGAGAGUAUCCUGUCUCUGUAUGUCAGAGACAGGAUGGUCUGGAAUCGAGGUAGAUUUUCUGUUAACAUGUAACAAAGCAGUGGCUGACAAAAAAAAAUUAAGUAUCUCUGCAGAUGGAAGAUAUGUCACUAUGUUAUACUCAUGGAAGAUUCAUUUUCAACACACAACAAGCAGGUAAAGGAACUAGUUACAGGUUUUCCAUUGGAGUGAUAUUCUCUUGAAAGUUCAUAGGAUGGUUGAGGUUGGAGGAGAUCUUAAAGAUAUCUUGUUCCAAUCCGUCUGCCAUGUGCAGGGUUGCCGGCCACUAGGAUAGCCAGGAUGCCAUCCAACAUGGAUUUAAUUUAGUUCAGUUUAUUUAAAAUAAUUUCUGGAGAGAAUAUUGCUUUUUUCAAUAAAAGACUUUGAAGUUUCAGGAAAAAAUAUUAUAUUUAAGUACAGGGGCUGGUCCAAAAGUAAUGCCAAACAGUGGAUGUGAGCACAGUGAGGUGGUAGGUGGUGCAUUUCAGCAGUGCUAACAGAGAUAUGAAAGACAAGCCAUGUUGAGAAUGGCCAUGUGCAGCUGUCGCAGCACGAAAUGAAGAGUGUCUCAAUCAACUCAUCCAUGUGGAAUGGGCCCAUCAGCUAAUGGUGCUGACUCAGUUGAAAAAGACUGUGUUGUACCUGAGAAUGUGUUCCGUCAAAAAGUGUUACUGUGCUCUUUAUGGCUGUUAUAGUCUCCAUGGAAAUAAAAUGGAGGCAUUAGUUUUGGAGAAGCCUAUAUAUAUAUAUUAAGAUUCAAGAACAAUGCAUAAUUUGAUCAAAAUUGCCAAACAGGUUAAUCCAGAUAAGAUUUCCUUAAAGGGAAGUAAAAUUUCUUUGUUACUGGUAUAUUGGCUAACAUAAUCUGGAAGAAAUGAGGUUAAAUCUGCUUUGAAAGUCCGCUUUCUUUUAAGCAAACAUCUUAAAAUGGUUAAAACAGAAAGGUAUUGCAACAAUUUAUGAAGCUUCCCUGUACAUAACAGUACAUGUACAAGAAUAUUGUGCAUGUAUAGAUUACAUCAGAUGGUUUUACAGCAAUAGCCUAGCUUGUAUGUGCAUUUAUUGGUAGUAAUAAAUGCUUAAAAUUGGCUUUGAAACAUUUAAUAGUUCCUCUGUAUAAAAGCAUAAAUCUGGCAUGAGGUGAAAAAUGACUCACAAGCACAUUUCUGAAUAAGUGUUAAAUGUGUUUUGUUUGUGGAUUGUUAUGUACUAUAGGUAUUUGAUCCUCCAUGCAGUAUAUUUUAAUAUACUUAUGAAAAGCUACAGCUGAAUGUAAUUUGGUAUGAAUGGUUAUCCAUUUGAAAGCAUAUUCAUUAUUAUCUAGUUUCCAUUUAUUAUUCCAAUCAUCAUACAACUGAGGAACUAAAAAAAAAAAGAAAAAAAAUACUGUAAGAGUUAAGUAACCAGUCACAGCAAGGUUAGUUUUCAGCAUGCAGUGGGAAAAUACUUCAGAGGGGACAGUCACAGUUUAUCAGAGUGAUGAAUCCCACGCUUGUGAAUAGAUACGUUUGCAGAAAUUAGGGCAGGUUUUCUGAUAGCUUGGAACCAAAAAUGUCUGCAGUUGUGGUAGCUCUUAGUUGCUCUGUAAGUAUUUUUCUAGACCAGUUUCACUUCUGCUCAUGUGUACUAUCUAUACAAAGUCAUCCAGCAACCUCAGGUCCUUGGUGGAAGAAAAAUUCAGCAUCUGGUUUCUCCAGGUUCUGUUUCCAUGUCCUUACAGUACAAUUUCAUUAUUCCAAAAGGAGGUGUUCUGCAAACUUGUGUACUUGAGGCUUAACACAGGCAUAACCAGAUGAAGACUGGCAUGGACUGAUUUAUGACGUAGUCAAUAUCAUUGUGUAAUGCAGAACCAUUUCAUAAGCAAUAAUAUCACUGAAAAUUACACCACAUAUUUUUUAAUUAAACCCAAUAACAUUAAGCUGUAGAGUGAAAAAAGUACAUACAGUAUCCCAACACAGCUACUAGAUGUUAUCUGCCUGCCCUUUUACAUGAGCCAGAAGAACCAGGACAUUAACAAACAGCCUCUAUUCUCACUGCUUGAAGAGGAAAAGAAUAACAAAUUGCAUAAAUGGAAGCAGAAAUAUUAGGUUCUGUGUUGUUCCUUCUCCCUCCCUGGUCUUCUGAAGCGUUAUUUGUGCCAGGAGUAAGUAAAAAUGUUGCAAGUGUUUAGUGUCCCAUUGUCUGCCAGUUCCUAUGUCUACUUCAGUCACUAAGAUUUUACAACCAGCUAUAAGGAGAAUACUUAAAAUCCUUCUCAAUCACUGUGAAGAGUAGUUUUAAAGGAAUACUGGUAUGCUGGAAACAUAAUUGCUAAAGACUCCUGGUCUAGGAGUAAAAGAACACAAAGUUACACUAUUUCACCCCCCCCCCCCC
ensembl:lncRNA